rnacentral:rRNA from 1 species
CAGUGGGGCGGACCGGGCUGGCGCUUUAAACACUCCACACCAAAACAACGUCUAAAGCUAUGUGCGCAUUGCCUAGUGCGAUCGCAUCUAACCAAAGACAACUCUCAACAACGGAUAUCUUGGCUCUUACAACGAUGAAGAACGCAGCGAAAUGCGAUACGUAGUGUGAAUUGCAGAAUUCCGUGAACCAUCGAAUCUUUGAACGCAUAUUGCGCUCGAGGCCUCGGCCAAGAGCACGCCUGCCUCAGAGUCGGUUUUCCCCCUCAACCCCCCACCUCCCCCGCGGAGGCGGGCCGGGCUGGACCUGGCAGUCUCACUCGCAAGGGUGGGUCUGCUGAAGUGCAGAGAUCCGACCGGGACCCGCUAACGGGCAAACACUAGGUAGGUAGCCUUCGGGUUAUUCCUGUGUGUGUCUAAGGACCCGGCUGUGAUCAGCAGGAAAACGAACAAUUACCAAUUCGACCUGAGUUCAGACGAGACUACCCGCCGAACUUAAGCAUAUCAAUAAGCGGAGGAA